rnacentral:snRNA from 1 species
GUGUGAGCAUGCCUGUCGGGAC